CCCGACCUCUAUAUUUUUCUAUCAUAUGAUCGUGUCCUUGCUAAACUACAAGUAAAUUAUGUCAUGUUUAGUUACCUUCCCGCGAUACUUCUUCAGCCUACUUCUACCUUUCUUCAAACCAGCCACAAUCAAUUCACAUAUCCUCAUUUGAACAUCUUACAUAUUCUCUUCAUAUACCAUAAUCAUCUCAAUCUUGCUUUCCUUAGCUUUUCCACCAUAUGGACUUCUCCCACCUUAUCCCUAAUAUCUCUAUUCCUAAUUAUAUCUCUCUUACUAUACUCACAUAUCCAUCUUGACGUCUUCAUUUUUGUUACUCUCAUCUUUUGGACAUGUGCGCUCUGAUCGAUCAAUACUUCACCACAUACAACACAGUUGAUCUAACAAAACACUCUAUAAAACUCACUUUAGUCUUGAUGGCAUAUUCUUGUUGCAUAAGAUCACG
rnacentral:lncRNA from 1 species